ensembl:lncRNA
CCGAUUGCUGACACACCGUGUGUACGGACAGAUAGGAAAAAACAAAAAACAGAUGAGAAAAACAUCGAGUUGACAACAAAUAACGCUUCUAAAUGAUUUUAUUACCGCGAGAGAUGAAACAGACAGCCGCUGGAUGGGGAUAAAAAGCGGGGAGGAACAAGCAUAUGCGCCGAUGCAGACACGGGCGAAUUCACGCAAGUGGACUACGAAUGAGGAAGACAUUGUUGUUGCGCCAAAGUCUCCACAAUCUGUAGGAAAUGUACCUUUACCUUCAAGAAAAGAGGUAAUUAUUUGUAUAUUAUUUAGUAUUACAUUGUGAUACCUUGGAAAAACAUUAAUUU